GACGAACGCUGGCGGCGUGCUUAACACAUGCAAGUCGAACGGAAAGGCCCUGCUUUUGUGGGGUGCUCGAGUGGCGAACGGGUGAGUAACACGUGAGUAACCUGCCCUUGACUUUGGGAUAACUUCAGGAAACUGGGGCUAAUACCGGAUAGGAGCUCCUGCUGCAUGGUGGGGGUUGGAAAGUUUCGGCUGUUGGGGAUGGACUCGCGGCUUAUCAGCUUGUUGGUGGGGUAGUGGCUUACCAAGGCUUUGACGGGUAGCCGGCCUGAGAGGGUGACCGGCCACAUUGGGACUGAGAGACGGCCCAGAAUCCUACGGGAGGCAGCAGUGGGGAAUAUUGCACAAUGGGCGGAAGCGUGAUGCGGCAACGCCGCGUGCGGGAUGACGGCCUUCGGGUUGUAAACCGAUUUCGCCUGUGACGAAGCGUGAGUGACGGUAAUGGGUAAAGAAGCACCGGCUAACUACGUG
rnacentral:rRNA from 1 species